UCGGUUAGACAACAGAGGAGUAUUAGAGGGUAGUCAGGUGGUAGUUAUAAUUUAAGGGUGAAGUUAAGAGGGUUUGUUAUCUACGGGAGGUGAAAUUCAUAGUAAAAUAUCAAAACCUGGGGGACUGUAUCGGCUUAGAGGCUAUAAACAUUUGGGCUUAGACUAGGAUUAGAUACCCUAUUAUUCCAUUUAUGUAAUAAGUUACUUGAGUAGUAAACAGUUAUGUUCUUGAAACUUAAAGGAUUUGGCGGUAUCCAAGUCUAGUUAGAGGAACCUGCUCUGUCAACGAUACUCCACGAAUCAUCUUACUUUUGCUUGUAGUAGUCAGUAUGUAUACCGCCAUUGUAAAAUAAUAUCAAUAGAUAUAUAUUUUAAUAGAUAUUCUAGAAUAUUAGGUCAAGGUGCAGCCUAUGUAAAAGUUGAAGUGGGUUACAAUAUGACUUAUAUUAGCGGAAUAAGGAUGUGAAAGAGUCCUUAGAAGUUGGAUUUAAUUGUAUGUUUGGUUUAACAAGACAAACUGAUAUUGCUCUAGGAUAUGUACAUAUCGCCCGUCGCUCUCACUAACUAAAGUGAGAUAAGUC
rnacentral:rRNA from 1 species